rnacentral:rRNA from 1 species
UGGGGAAUUUUGGACAAUGGGGGAAACCCCUGAUCCAGCCAUCCCGCGUGUGCGAUGAAGGCCUUCGGGUUGUAAAGCACUUUUGGCAGGAAAGAAACGUCGCGGGUUAAUACCCCGCGAAACUGACGGUACCUGCAGAAUAAGCACCGGCUAACUACGUGCCAGCAGCCGCGGUAAUACGUAGGGUGCAAGCGUUAAUCGGAAUUACUGGGCGUAAAGCGUGCGCAGGCGGUUCGGAAAGAAAGAUGUGAAAUCCCAGAGCUUAACUUUGGAACUGCAUUUUUAACUACCGGGCUAGAGUGUGUCAGAGGGAGGUGGAAUUCCGCGUGUAGCAGUGAAAUGCGUAGAUAUGCGGAGGAACACCGAUGGCGAAGGCAGCCUCCUGGGAUAACACUGACGCUCAUGCACGAAAGCGUGGGGAGCAAACAGGAUUAGAUACCCUGGUAGUCCACGCCCUAAACGAUGUCAACUAGCUGUUGGGGCCUUCGGGCCUUGGUAGCGCAGCUAACGCGUGAAGUUGACCGCCUGGGGAGUAC